rnacentral:lncRNA from 15 species
AAUGAACAGUAUAUACACUAUAAGCAAUAUGCAAUAAUAUGGUGUGUACAUAUUUGAGCAGCUUUGACUAAAAAGCUAAAUAUGUGCAAGUUAAAUAUAAAUAGUUGGAGUUUAAACCAGUCUUAGUCAGCGGGGGUUGGAGGUACUGGGUGCUGUGGCAUUGUGGAGUCUGAUGGCAGAUUGUACAAACAAGGUUUGAGGCUCGGGGCUGGAUCAGUCUGUGGCUGAAAGUGCUCCCGAGCUCAGUGUAGAGAGGAUGAGAGGGGUUGUCCAUGAUGGCCUUCAGUUUCUCUUUCAUACUCUUCUCAGUCACAGCCUCCACACUGUCCAGCUCCAUCCCCACCACUGAGCUGGUCUUCAUCACCAGCUUGCUCAGCUUGUUGGCACCAUGAGUCCCAAUGCCUCCUCCCCAACACACCACAGCAAAGAAGAUGACACUGGCCACUACAGACUGGAACAUCCGUAGUAGCUGAGUGCACACGUUGAAGGACUUGAGCCUCCUCAGAAAUAAUAGCCUGCUCUGUCCUUUCCUGUACAGAGGGUCUCAGUGUGGUCCGUCCAGUCCACUUUAUUGCUGAGUGUCACCUCCAGGAACUUGUAAGUGUCCACCAUCUCUACCUUCUCCUCGCAACUGGGGAGCUGCGCUGGGAGUCCACCACCAGCUCCUUGGUUUUCCCUGUGUUGAGCUGUAGGUGGUUUCUGUCGCACCAUCUCAUGAAGUUCUCGAUCAGGUCUCUGUACUCCUCCUCCCUAUCAUCUGUGAUACAGCCGACAACGGAGGAGUCAUCUGAGAACUUCUGUAGGUGGCACGCUCCUGAGUUGAAGCAGAAAUCAGAGGAUACUCUUGUUUCUGAUGUAAAGUAAGUUUAGAUACAUUUUAGAGAUUUGAUGUCUGAUAAAGGCAUACAUGGUGUUUAUUAUUUAUAUAUUUUACUAUUGAAUAGCCUUAAUAACCUUUACAUGCUUUAUACAUGGAUGAAAGAAACAUGUUGUGAACACAAAGAACCAAAGUACAAGAGACAAUGACUGUUUGCAGUUGGUAAAUGUUUAAUAAAAUAACUUGAGAAGACGCUGAAGAAAGAGACACACAUCUGCCUGCUUCAUUUCUAUUUCCUGUUUCCUAAAUGUAAACAUAUUCCACAGUAUUACUGGCCACCACAGACUCAUUGAACAUCCUCAGCAUGGUCCUGCAGAUGAUGAAGGACCUCAGCCUCCUCAGAAAAUAGAGAUGGCUUUGGCUCUUCCUGUAGAGGGCUUGAGUGUUCUUAGUCCAGUUCAGUUUAUUGUCCAUGUGAACUCCCAGGUACUGUAAUCCUCCACAGUGUCUACACUGACCCCCUGGAUGGAAACAGGGGUCAAAAUUAACCUUUUUAGUCAACUUUAUUCCAAUUCAUUGCCACAAGUUUCAC